ensembl:lncRNA
UUUCACGGUGCUACAACACAACGUUUCUCGAAGUCACGGUUAAUGGCGCUCAAAGCGAGCGAAAUAAAGAAGAUUAAGCACCCGUCGAAACUCUCUGUCUCGUUUGUCGACGCCAAGGGGCUGCUACAUGUUUGAAAGCAUAUGGGAGGGGUCACUAAUGAGAAGCCAUUAUUGUUGCAUGCUUGUGUUUGUUUCUGUCACAAACAGCCUGUUGCAGUAUAUGUGCCAAAUGUAUUUUACAUUGUAUCUUAUUUCAAGCUCAUUUACUUUUCUCAUUUAGGCCUUCUAUAGUUUUGAAAAUGACCAACAAAUAUGAAAUGUUUCUGGUCAUGCUAUUUUUGGAAAACAGCCUGUUAUGUCAAAACAUAUGGCAUAACAGCAAGAGAUGGAACUGUGUUCUGCAGUCUCGGUGCCCCCUAUUGAAUCCUGUUAGUAAAUAUGUAUAUGUAUUCUAGGCUAAUAAAUGCAUAAAUAGAGAUCCUUUCCUUUUGUAUUAAAAAGAUGUAAUGACAGAUCAGACAAUCAGCUUUAUGAGGUGCAGAAAACAUUAGAGAAAUAAGAGUUAUGAAUUAUGACUAGAUGAAAUUCACACUAUUGUUAAAGGUGAUCACUAAUGUAUUUGCUCUGCACUCAAACUUUAAAUUGUAAACAAUUUACUAAAUGUUAAACUGAAUAAUUUUAUAGUUACUGUUAUUUUGUAAGAAGUUUAAUUGCAUAUUGUAUUAUUUUACUUUUUAUUUUUAUAUAUUUUUUAUUUAAUGAAUAUUGUCGUUGAUGCUGAUAUGGCAUUAAAAAAUAAACUUGAAACAAUUUUGCUUUACCAAUUAGUUUUCAUGUAACUUUGCAAUGAAUAUCAUAACAGGGUACAAUAAAGGACAAAAUACAGAUAUAUACAAAGCAAGCAAGAAAGAAAAUAAAGCCUCAAUGACAAAGAAUAAAACAAAAAGGAAGCUGGAGUUGGACAAAGGCAGGAGCAUCUGGCUGCAGAGAAAAAGAAAACAAGGGAGACGCUUUUGUGAGGAGAGGGUGCGGAGCUUCGCAGAGGAUUGCUCCAGUAGUAUGACCUGGAUUUCUCCCGAUAAGUUGACCUAAAUAUUUCUACGGUAUUCUGAUAUAUUUUUCUUUUUACGUAAUAUAGAAGGAAUGCUCCUUAUAUCAUUCUCUUUGCUAAGUGAGUCUGUUUCUGGCUUUCCCAGCUCUAGGCCCAUGCUGUGCACAGUUGGGGGGCCUGAAGCUCCAGCAGCCACUUAUUUAGGGAAAGAAAAGCGAAAUCUUCAGUCUUCCAGCCUCAUUUUCUUCUUACAAAACCACAGAGGACUGAACACAGUCUUGGUCUGCUUAUCAAUUUUCUUUUAACAUCAUUAUAUGUCCUUCUGGACCCAGACGUCAACCCUGGAUCAGGAGAUUCCAGUUUGAGUUAAUCGAUAUGCGAAAAUUCCAGCCAUGACAACUAGCUGGGAAUAGUAUAUAUUUCUGAGCAGGAGAUGAAGAUCUGAGGUAUGUAAAAGUUAGGGUUUGGUCAUAAUUAAUUCUGUGUACGCUGGUCUAGCAAGAAACAAUUCCCAUUUAAAUUCAUUAUAGAGGCAUAAUGAUGGCUUGAUAAACACUUUAUGAUCAAAUGAGAGGUUUAAAGAGAUUCGUCAUAAUUCGAUCAAUGCGGUUCCUGAGGUAGAAAUUGUACAGCAUAUAGGAGCUGGUCAAUAUUUAGCUCACCUCUCUGGGUGUGCGGUAUAACAGCAGCUUUGUGGUGAAAUAUAAUUUAAAGUCUGCAUAUGUUCAUAUUUUCAGAUUCUGCUCUGUGCUAAUAUUGGCUCGAGUUCAAAUCCUUGCCAUAGCGGAGAGUCUGGGAUACUUGGUUUGGUGGGAAGCCAGUGCUGAAAAUGCCAUAAUAGUCACUGCGGGCCUAGCUGCAGCUACAUUUACAACCUAUUCAGAACAUGUGAAUAUGGGUUUGAAUACAGGCUAAAUUGUUUGAAAUUUCUCUUGUCUAAAUUUGUGAUUUAGAAAUCAACCCUAAAAAAUAACACACUUCCCUCAGCUCAACAUGACAAAAGAAUUGUUACUGCAUCUUUCAUCCAUCUGAGUGCAAUAUACUCAAAGUGUAAAUGUAAGUCUUUUUAGUAUCUUUGUACUGUUAGAUUUAACACAAGCAAGGGCAUGAAAUGGGCUGUUUCGUUGCAGCUUAGGAUGAUUACAAGGCUUUAGUAGAUGAGGUGAGAAGUGCAAACUGUUAUUAGAUGAAAGACAAUUUAUAAUCCCUUGUAUCCGUCUAGAAGGAAUGCAAGAGCACUGGUAUUAGACAGACUGGCAUGAAACACAGGCCUAAACAGGAGCUCUAUGAGUAUUAAACUGUAAAUUCUUGCAUAUCCCUUUCAGUAUAAUAUGACUUCAUUCUGUGUGUUAAUCUGAACAAUUAUUACAUUUCCAUCUUGAUGUAAUUUGCUGCUGAUGAACUGAUUUCAUAAUCAGAAAAUGUAUUGGUCUGUGGCAGACAAUGUAACUUGGUGUGAUUCUGGAGACAGACCUUAGUUUCAGUAGUCAUGUCAAAGCAGUACCUAAAUCAGCAUACUAUCAUCUCAAAAACAUUGCUAGAAUUAGAUGUUUUGUUUCCAGUCAAGACUUGGAGAAACUUGUUCAUGCCUUUAUCUCCAGCAGGGUGGACUAUUGUUAUGGUCUCCUCACCGGCCUUCCCAAAAAGACCAUUAGACAGCUGCAGCUCAUCCAGAGCGCAGCUGCCAGGAUUCUGACUAGAACCAGAAAAUCUGAGCACAUCACACCAGUCCUCAGGUCCUUACACUGGCUUCAGUUACAGUAUAUUAAGGAUUGAUUUUAAAGUACUUUUACUUGUUUAUAAACCAAUCAAUAGCCUAGGACCUAAAUACAUAGCUGAUAUGCUCACUGAAUGUAAGCCUAACAGACCACCCAGAAAUACCAAGGGUUCACACAAAACAAGGGGAGUCCGCUUUUUAGCUAUUAUGCCGCCCGCAGUUGGAACCAGCUUCCUGAAGAGAGCAGAUGUGCUAAAACAUUAGUCAUAUUUAAAUGCAGACUCAAAACUCAUCUGUUUAGCUGUGCAUUUAUUGAAUGAGCACUGUGCUACGUCCGAACUGAUAACAUUGUAUUUUAUAUAUAAUAAUUUCCUAUAUUUAACUGUUUUAAAUUCAUUUUAAAUCAAUUUGUAAAUCAUUUAAAAGUUUUAUAUUCCUUGUUUUAUUGUUGUGAUUACUUUUUAUGAAUAUUUUACUUUCUUUUAUGUAAAGCACUUGGAAUUACCAUUGUUUAUGAAAUGUGCUAUAUAAAUAAACUUGCCUACCUAAUACAUGUUUAAAAAUAUCUUUAUACAUUAGGUUUU